rnacentral:rRNA from 1 species
CUCGUGCCGUGAGGUGUUGGGUUAAGUCCCGCAACGAGCGCAACCCUCAUUGUUAGUUACUACCAUUCAGUUGAGGACUCUAAUGAGACUGCCAACGACAAGUUGGAGGAAGGUGGGAUGACGUCAAAUCAUCAUGCCCUUUAUGACCUGGGCUACAAACGUACUACAAUGGCCAAUACAAAGAGAUGCGAAGCGGUGACGUGAAGCGAACCUCAGAAAGUUGGUCUCAGUUCAGAUUGAAGUCUGCAACUCGACUUCAUGAAGGCGGAAUCGCUAGUAAUCGCGGGUCAGCAGACCGCGGUGAAUACGUUCCCGGGUUUU